rnacentral:rRNA from 1 species
GCAAGUCGAGCGGGCGAGGUUGCUUCGGUAACUGAGCUAGCGGCGGACGGGUGAGUAAUGCUUAGGAAUCUGCCUAUUAGGGGGGGACAACAUUCCGAAAGGGAUGCUAAUACCGCAUACGUCCUACGGGAGAAAGCAGGGGAUCAUUUGACCUUGCCCUAAUAGAUGAGCCUAAGUCGGAUUAGCUAGUUGGGGGGGUAAGGGCCUACCAAGGCGACAAUCUGUAGCGGGUCUGAGAGGAUGAUCCGCCACACUGGGACUGAGACACGGCCCAAACUCCUACGGGAGGCAGCAGUGGGGAAUAUUGGACAAUGGGGGGAACCCUGAUCCAGCCAUGCCGCGUGUGUGAAGAAGGCCUUUUGGUUGUAAAGCACUUUAAGUGGGGAGGAGGCUUACCUGGUUAAUACCUGGGCUAAGUGGACGUUACCCACAAAAUAAGCACCGGCUAACUCUGUG